CAUAGUCCUUUGGUUUACUCUAUAUACUUGUAUAAUUCUAAUUAAAUUGGUUGAUUAGAAUCAUGUUUCUUUUUAAAAUUUUAUCAGUUGGAUAAUGUACAAAUAGGUACUAUGCAUUAGCAGUUUUUAUACAUAACGUAAAUAGAUAUAGAUUAGUAUGUUAGACUGACUUUAUAUUUAACAAGACGCUCUCUCGAGCGUUAAGUUGCUGGGGCUUUUUAAAUAGGCGCCUGCGUGAUUUGCAACGAGCGGUAAGAGUAUAUUCAACGAUUUGUGGGCUUGAUUUGUAAUUGUACAUAAGUUUAUUAUAUAAAUAGUGACACGUUGCGACAUAAUGUAUACAGCAAAUUUAAUUAACUAAGGGACGGACCAUUAGAAAAGUGAUGGGGGGGGGGAUGUUUUAAGAGGCAAGAUUUUUUUUUUGUACACCUAUAGAAAUUUUUUUUUCUCACUUGAUGGCUGGAAAUAUAUUUUUUUUAUUAAAAUUUAUAGGCCUAUCUUCCAGGAAAGGAAUUUUUUUUGCACUAUGCCUGGGAAGAUUUUUUUCCCUAAUUUUUUCCUGGGAAUAAUUUUUUUUUUUGGUUUUGCCCCCCCCCCAUCACUUUUCUAAUGGUCCGUCCUAAGGUCGUCCUUUCAAUGAAGUGGAAUCUCACAAUCAGGUCCGUUGCACAAAAGUUCAUCAUAUCGCUGAACUGAAGAAUUCCUACAGGUCAUAAAAGAGAUCCACUGAAGAAUUCCUGUUAAUACCCAUGAAGAGAGACCCUGGAAGAAUUUCAAUUUUUACAUUUGACCUCUGAGAAAAUCUCAUUCAAAAUAGCCAUUACCAGAUUACCCCCAAAAAAUUCCACACAGAAAUUUGCUUAUCCCUGAGGAAUUCCAAAGCUAAAAAUUUAUCACCUCAUUCCAGCAGAAUUGAAAGCCAAAAUAGCCCAUUUUGUGCUGGCACUGUGGCACAAGUGUACAUAUUUGGGCCUUGGGCUAUAACAACCCCUUAUUCAUAUUUGAGGAUAAAUACAGAUUUGUGUAUUUUUAUUUUAACUUGUUUAUAACAAAUUUUAAAACACAAAAAUUGUUUAUCAGACAGUUAAGGACUAAGGAGUCGUUUGUGAAUUAACCCAUUGAGUGACAGCACUCUCUCCCUGAUGAGUAAAAUCCUUGGCAUUAGACACAGUAAAAUAAUAAAGUAGGUCACAUGAGGGUACAUUGCCACUUAGAGGGUUAUAUGAUAUGGACAAUCGCAUAUAUUGGACUAUUG